rnacentral:rRNA from 1 species
UGGCGGACGGGUGAGUAAUGUCUGGGAAACUGCCUGAUGGAGGGGGAUAACUACUGGAAACGGUAGCUAAUACCGCAUAACGUCGCAAGACCAAAGAGGGGGACCUUAGGGCCUCUUGCCAUCGGAUGUGCCCAGAUGGGAUUAGCUAGUAGGUGGGGUAAAGGCUCACCUAGGCGACGAUCCCUAGCUGGUCUGAGAGGAUGACCAGCCACACUGGAACUGGGACACGGUCCAG